rnacentral:rRNA from 1 species
AUGAACGCUGGCGGCGUGCCUAAUACAUGCAAGUCGAGCGAACAGACGAGGAGCUUGCUCCUCUGACGUUCGCGGCGGACGGGUGAGUAACACGUGGAUAACCUACCUAUAAGACUGGGAUAACUUCGGGGAACCGGAGCUAAUACCGGAUAAUAUAUUGAACCGCAUGGUUCAAUAGUGAAAGACGGUUUUGCUGUCACUUAUAGAUGGAUCCGCGCCGCAUUAGCUAGUUGGUAAGGUAACGGCUUACCAAGGCAACGAUGCGUAGCCGACCUGAGAGGGUGAUCGGCCACACUGGAACUGAGACACGGUCCAGACUCCUACGGGAGGCAGCAGUAGGGAAUCUUCCGCAAUGGGCGAAAGCUUGACGGAGCAACGCCGCGUGAGUGAUGAAGGUCUUCGGAUCGUAAAACUCUGUUAUUAGGGAAGAACAAAUGUGUAAGUAACUAUGCACGUCUUGACGGUACCUAAUCAGAAAGCCACGGCUAACUACGUG